rnacentral:rRNA from 1 species
AACGAACGCUGGCGGCAUGCCUAACACAUGCCAGUCGAACGAGACCUUCGGGUCUAGUGGCGCACGGGUGCGUAACGCGUGGGAACCUGCCCUUAGGUUCGGAAUAACUCCCCGAAAGGGGUGCUAAUACCGGAUAAUGUCUUCGGACCAAAGAUUUAUCGCCUUUGGAUGGGCCCGCGUUGGAUUAGCUAGUUGGUAGGGUAAAAGCCUACCAAGGCGACGAUCCAUAGCUGGUCUGAGAGGAUGAUCAGGCACACUGGGACUGAGACACGGCCCAGACUCCUACGGGAGGCAGCAGUGGGGAAUAUUGGACAAUGGGCGAAAGCCUGAUCCAGCAAUGCCGCGUGAGUGAUGAAGGCCUUAGGGUUGUAAAGCUCUUUUACCCGGGAUGAUAAUGACAGUACCGGGAGAAUAAGCUCCGGCUAACUCCGUG